AUGGCUCAGGAUAAACGCUGGCGGCACGCCUAAUACAUGCAAGUCGAACGGAGUUACCUCGGGUAACUUAGUGGCGAACGGGUGAGCAACACGUAGGUAAUCCAUCCCAAGGACGAGGAUAGCUUCUGGAAACGGAAGGUAAAACUGGAUAGUUAAUUAAAGGGCAUCCUUUAGUUAUUAAAAGAGCAAUCUACCCUGGGAAGAGCCUGCGGCGCAUUAGCUAGUUGGUGAGGUAAUGGCCCACCAAGGCGAUGAUGCGUAGCCGGACUGAGAGGUCGACCGGCCACAUUGGGACUGAGACACGGCCCAGACUCCUACGGGAGGCAGCAGUAGGGAAUUUUCGGCAAUGGGCGGAAGCCUGACCGAAGCAAUGCCGCGUGAAUGAUGAAGUUAUUUCGGUAUGUAAAGUUCUUUUAACAGGGACGAAAAAACAAAUUGACGGUACCUGUUGAAUAAGCUCCGGCUAACUACGUGCCAGCCGCAGC
rnacentral:rRNA from 1 species